rnacentral:lncRNA from 1 species
UUCUUGUAUAUCAUUUUAAUGUGUUUUUGUUUACCUUUCAGAAAAGGGAUAUUAAUUCACAUUUUGACUUAAGUGUGUACUAAUUGAGUUUCUGUUUCUCAAAGGAAUACAUGGAGAUUCUAUAGUAUUGAGGUGAAGUCUUCGGGAAACAAUGUGGCAUUGGGUUUGAUGGCAACUGUAUUUUCUUAUUGAUUAAUAUUAUUGAUCACGAGUGAAUAAGAUGUGCAAAGUGGCUUUAAAACAUAAUUACACAUACGAUGAUUCAAUUACCCAACCAAAGAACAAGA